UGCAAAUUCGUGAAGCGUUCCAUAUUUUUUUGGAACGAUACAGAGAAGAUUAGCAUGGCCCCUGCGCAAAAUCGGCUCUCUAGAGUGCGAGGGAGAGCCACCAACC